ACGGGAGGCAGCAGUGAGGAAUAUUGGUCAAUGGUCGCAAGACUGAACCAGCCAUGCCGCGUGCAGGAAGACGGUCCUAUGGAUUGUAAACUGCUUUUAUACAGGAAGAAACCCUCCCACGUGUGGGAGCUUGACGGUACUGUAGGAAUAAGGAUCGGCUAACUCCGUGCCAGCAGCCGCGGUAAUACGGAGGAUCCAAGCGUUAUCCGGAAUCAUUGGGUUUAAAGGGUCCGUAGGCGGUCUUAUAAGUCAGUGGUGAAAGCCCAUCGCUCAACGAUGGAACUGCCAUUGAUACUGUAAGACUUGAAUGCUUAGGAAGUAACUAGAAUAUGUAGUGUAGCGGUGAAAUGCUUAGAUAUUACAUGGAAUACCAAUUGCGAAGGCAGGUUACUACUAAGUGAUUGACGCUGAUGGACGAAAGCGUGGGGAGCGAACAGGAUUAGAUACCCUGGUAGUCCACGCCGUAAACGAUGGAUACUAGCUGUUCGGCGCAAGUUGAGUGGCUAAGCGAAAGUGAGAAGUAUCCCACCUGGGGAGUACGCAC
rnacentral:rRNA from 1 species